GCAGGAACAAAAUGCGUCUGCAACCCCUGGCUCAUAUUUAGCUCAGCUGCCAUCCAUCACUCACAGACGAAAGCUCGAAAAGCAUCAAGUCCACACCGAAAGGAGGAAAAUGUGAGUGGCAUCCCCGGUGGCAAGGGUUGGACGUGGGAGGCAGAGAGGAGCUAUAUAUUAUACCUGAACUCGCUGCCAGUUUCAGAAACGGCUUGGAAGGAAGAUGAGAAGAAGGCAAAGGACCAGAGCUACUGACAUGCGCACAGCCAUCAAGGAAAUGCUAAGGUGACUGGCAAGAAGAGAAGGCCCCGCACUCACGGAGCAGCAACCAGCAGUGUGGGACAAGAUCUGAUUAAGGGGGAACAGUGUCCCAGGCCUCCGAUGCUCUGCCCUCCAGAAGAGGAAGCGAACGCGAAUUCCUGCAAUGAAAACCACCUGCCCUCAGCUUAGAUUUUAGCUCACUGUGACUCAGGGGCUGGCUCUGGCACCCAGGCACAAGAACUCCAGAAGUUUGGACGAGACUUUGGGUAUCUGAGGAGGAAAUACCUGGCCCAACUUGUCACCAUUCAAGAGGAAACCAGAGAGAGAUUCUAAUAAUAAAAGAUGGUAUCCUGGGUGAGGGUGAGACUGUUUGUAAGCAUACGUCCUGUGUAGACCGUGCUUGCAGCUGUGUGUCGGUGGUGGCUUCUUGUAUCGUGGGCGCUCCCUCGGGAUAGCUGAGAAGCGUUAGGGUUCCAAGUAGGCUGAUAAUGGAAUUCACCCGCCAUCAAACACAACCAGGAGAGAGGGGAAAAAAAAAGU